rnacentral:rRNA from 1 species
GAAUUGAAGAGUUUGAUCAUGGCUCAGAUUGAACGCUGGCGGCAGGCUUAACACAUGCAAGUCGAACGGUAGCACAUAGGAGUUUGCUCCUUGGGUGACGAGUGGCGGACGGGUGAGUAAUGCUUGGGAAUCUGGCUUAUGGAGGGGGAUAACUACUGGAAACGGUAGCUAAUACCGCGUAAUGUCUUAGGACUAAAGGGUGGGACCAUUUGGCCACCUGCCAUAAGAUGAGCCCAAGUGGGAUUAGGUAGUUGGUGAGGUAAAGGCUCACCAAGCCCGCGAUCUCUAGCUGGUCUGAGAGGAUGACCAGCCACACUGGAACUGAGACACGGUCCAGACUCCUACGGGAGGCAGCAGUGGG